CAUUGCUUGAAUUCCUGUCAUGUUUCUGCUGACCCUGCCUGAGGGGUUUUGAACUGUGAGGCACAUCCCUUUAGCCUACGCAAGCCUAACUAGGCUGGAAUCCUCUAGGACAAGUAAAACACCGGAUUUGGGAAGGAUCCACUGAUGUCCUCAGCAACCAUCUGCCAAACCAUCCAGUCAUGAUGGACCUUUCCCAUGUGAAGUCUGUCUGACAAACAGUACAUGAGACGUUCAUCUGGUUACCUUCCUGACUCCCACUGAGAUGCAGCCCCCUGUGGCAUCAAUCAUUGCAACGGCCAAAC